rnacentral:rRNA from 1 species
AUUGAACGCUGGCGGCAGGCCUAACACAUGCAAGUCGAGCGGAUGAAGCGCGCUUGCUCCUGGAUUCAUCGGCGGCCGGGUGGGUACUGCCUAUGAAUCUGCCUUGUCUUCCGGGAUAACGUCCUGAUACGGGCUCUAAUACCCCAUCCGUCCUUUGAUAGCCAUUGGGUGAUCUUCGGACCUCUCGCUUUCAUAUGAGCAUAGGUCGGUUUAGCUAGUUGGUGGGGUAAAGGCCUUACAAGGCGGCGAUCCGAAACUGGUCUGAGAGGGUGAUCCGUCACACUGGAACAGAGAAAGAGUAGAGACUCCGACGGGAGGCAGCAGUGGGGAAUAUUACACGAGGGGGGAAAGCGUGAUACAGCAAAGCCGCGGGUGUGAAGAAGGUGUUCGGAUGGUAAAGCACUGUAAGUUGGGAGGAAGGGAAGUAAGUUUAUACCUUGCUGUAUUGACGGUACCAACAGAAUAAGCACCGGCUAACUUCGUG